AUGUGCAUUUAGCGGGAAUGUGUAUUUUGCAGCUUCUUUCAUUUUGAAUUUACAGCUGGGUUACACUCCUCUUCCAGUUUCAAGUUUCGUCCGCCACGCCAUCGCGUCGUCGACCCAGGGUUCUGCAAAUCGCCGUCGUCGCGGGGAUUCUCCUCUGAUUUCGUUUGGUGAGCAGCUGACCCACAGGUCAUCGUUAAGCGCAUGGCUCGGCGAGAACUCCCCUCAUCUUUCUGUUUUCUCAAUUAAAUUUUCUGUGUAAUACUCAGAUUUACGUGAAGUAGAGAAUGUCGAGAAAUGAGCGAAGGGGUUGUUGAUGGGGAAAACUGCCUUCAAAAGCCAAGGAUAAGGACAAGAAUAAACUCGUCUCUCGCUCUUCUCACGCUGGACUGCAGGUGUCCCUCACGCCGUCGCCGAUUAUUCUCCGACACCGCUCGUCCCUCAGUUUGCAGGUCUUGUUAUUAACGAGAAACCUGAUCUUAAAUUUGUUCAGUCCUGAGUUCGAGCCAAUUAAAGAGGUCCAAUCAUCAUAUGAUGUCCAGUUGAAGGAAGUACAAGUUUCACCCGGAACUGUGAUCAGUGCUGAAUGAGCUUCACCGCUUCUCAGAAUGGACAUAUUUAUUUUUUAUAUGUAUAUAGUAAGUAAGCAACGCACCAUCAUCACCCCGAGCAAUAACUGAAGCAUACAUAUGUUAUCUGAGUCUCUCUUCAAAAGCACUGUACAAGAUAAUCCAAUAGCAAGACCUUUAUACACAAGGUAGAAGCAGCAGCCAAAAUGACGCUGGAGAUGAAAAGAGUCAUCGGCAUCAUUUGUGCUUGCUCUACCACUGUGUAGAGCACACCCUUUUGCCCUUGUUGUAUAAAUCUGUUUAGGUAUGAGCAUGACACCUUUCUCACCUCUAACUUGUAUUUUUUUCAAUUUUGGUGCUCAGCUGUUGUGGUUAAUUCGUUGACAAUUGACAUAGUAGUGGCUGUAGUGCAGUGUCAUUGUAAGUCUUAGCUAUCUCUCUUUUCCCAUGUAGAUAAGUGAGAUUGUAGUUCAGUUCUUGCUGUAAACUUUCAAGUAUUGAUAGUGCUCCCUAAUUUUGAC